rnacentral:lncRNA from 1 species
UUGCCUAAGCUAAUCUAUUGAGAUCAAUUGACCAAUUGAUGUUUAAGACAAGUAAUUGAGAGGUGGUUACUUAAUUAGGAGGUUACAGUGGUUCAGUUACACCGAGAACAUGCAACCACUCUAUUAGUAAAGAGUUGCUCCAGGACAAAGAUGGGAUUGGGCUCAAUAUCUGUCAGGUGAGGGACCCAAUGAUAGCUUUACACCUACUCGUGAAUGGUGGGUCGGAUUUAACUAAAGAGUGUAGUCAAUAUCUGUUAGGUAAGCCCACAUAACUUAAAGACCAAGUCACUGCAACAUGCUUAGAGAAACAUCUGGACAAAGAGUUGUCUAUGAAUCGGUGUGUGUU